AAUUUAUUUAUUAAACCUAACUUUUACCAAAAAUAUUUUUAAAAGUCGAACGACACUCAUCUACCAUCUGUAAAUUACAAUAAAAUAAUACAAUGAUAGAGACAUCAAAAUAAUACAAUUAAAUCCAAUCUUUACACAUAAAAAAUUUUUCAAAGUCAUCUGACACUCAUCUACCACCUGUAAACAAUAACAAAAUAAUGUGAUAAUAAAGAUAUCAAAAUAAUACAACUAAACCUAACCUUUACAUCAAAAAAUUCUCAAAAUCUAUCAACAUUUAUCUAUCACCUAUAACUGCAACAAAAUAAUAUGAUAGAAGUGAUAUCAAAAUAGUACAAUUAGACUAAAAUUUUACCCACAAAAAAUUCUCAAAGCCAAUCGAAAUUCAUCUAUGAACUGUAAACUAACACAAAAUAACAAACUAAUAGAGAUAUUACGAUAUUACAAUUAAAUCUAACAUUUACCUAAAAAAAAUUCAAAGUUGACUUACACUCAUCUAGCAUGUAUAAAUUAAAAUAAAACAAAAAGAUAAUAAAGAUAUCGAAAAAAUACAACUAAACCUAACCUUUACACAAGAAAUUCUUCAAAGCCAAACGACAUUCAUCUACGACUUGUAAACUAUACAAAAAAAAUAUAAUAGUGAUCACAAAGCUUCUAUUUUUAUACAACUAAUUCUUGUCUAAGUGAAAAUUUUGAUCCUAAAAAAUGAUUUUGAAUGAAAACAAAGAAGAUAUGUAUAUAUAUAUAUAUAUAAGUAUAUAUAUAUAUAUAUAUAUACACACACACACAUAUUGAAUUCUAUUAUGCUGACAAAAAGGAUGAAGCAAAAAUAGUAGAUACCCUAGGAGCAAGAAAAAAAAUUUUACAGCAAUGGUAUAGAAAUCUAUAUGAAAAAUAUAGAGAAGAAAUAAAAAUGGAAAAAACAUUAAUAAGAAAUUUAACAUGUUGAAAAGAUAAAAUAGCACCUCAAUUUGGAUGUGAAGAAAGAUAUUAUAAGAAAAGAAAAAGACAUAAGAAAUAUAAGAAAUACAAGAAAUCAAAAUAUAAGUAUAAGAAACCAAGAAAAAGAUAUUAUGUAAAAAAUUAUAAACAUAAAAGACCAUAUAGGAAAAAGAAAUUUAUAAAAGAAUGUACUUAUUAUAAUUGUGGAAAACUAGGACAUUUAGCUAGAGAUCAUAAAUAUAAAUACCUGUUCUGGUAAAUCUGAUAAUUCUAGAUUUUCCAUAGUUGUCUGAUUGAUAGCUUUUCCUUAAAAAUAUACCUAUUUUUUAUUAAAUAAUUCAAAAGUUUUUUGUGUACAAGAGAGGGUUUUGCUUCAACUC
rnacentral:lncRNA from 1 species